AUUGAACGCUGGCGGCAGGUCUAACACAUGCAAGUCGAGCGGAAGAAGGGAGCUUUCUCCUGGUUUCAGCGGCGGACGGGUGAGUAAUACCUAGGAAUCUCCCUCGUAGUGGGGGAUAACGUCCGCAAACGAGCGCUAAUACCACAUACGUCCUGAGCGAGAAAGUGGGGGAGCUUCGGACCUCACGCUCUCAGAUGAGCCUAGGUCGGAUUAGCUAGUUUGUGGGGUAGGGGCCUACCAAGGCGCCGAUCCGUAACUGGUCUGAGAGGAUGAUCAGUCACACGGGAAGCUGGACACGGUCAAGAGUACUACGGGAGGCGGCAGUGGGGAACAUUGGACAAUAGGCGAGAGCAUGGUCCAGCCAUGCCAAGUGUGUGAAGAAGGUGUUGGGAUUGUGAAGCACUUCAAGUUGGGGGGAAGGGCAGUAAGUUAAUACCUUGCUUUUUUGACGUUAACAGCUGAAGAAGCACCGGCUAACUUCGUG
rnacentral:rRNA from 1 species